rnacentral:rRNA from 1 species
UACGUAGGGUGCAAGCGUUAAUCGGAAUUACUGGGCGUAAAGCGUGCGCAGGCGGUGAUGUAAGACAGAUGUGAAAUCCCCGGGCUCAACCUGGGACCUGCAUUUGUGACUGCAUUGCUAGAGUACGGCAGAGGGGGAUGGAAUUCCGCGUGUAGCAGUGAAAUGCGUAGAUAUGCGGAGGAACACCGAUGGCGAAGGCAAUCCCCUGGGCCUGUACUGACGCUCAUGCACGAAAGCGUGGGGAGCAAAAGGG